UGAGUGCGGCUGGCGCCGCGGCUCACUAGGCUAAUCCUCCACCUUGCGGCGCUGGCACACCGGGUUCUAGUCCCGGUCAGGGCACCAGAUUCUGUCCCGGUUGCCCCUCUUCCAGGCCAGCUCUCUGCUGUGGCCAGGGAGUGCAGUGGAGGAUGGCCCAGGUGCUUGGGCCCUGCACCCCAUGGGAGACCAGGAGAAGCACCUGGCUCCUGCCAUCAGGUCAGCGCGGUGCGUUGGCCGCAGCGUGCUGGCCGCGGCGGCCAUUGGAGGGUGAACCAAUGGCAAAGGAAGACCUUUCUCUCCGUCUCUCUCUCUCUCUCUCACUGUCCACUCUGCCUGUCAAAAAAAAAAAAAAAAAAAAAAAGUGCAAGAGUAGGCAUUUGGUGGUGAUUGAUGGUGAGCACACAGUGAUACAUUGGCUAGUGUUGGCUGCAUCCGAGCACAUCCAGAUGACAGUGAGCUCAGGAGAGACGUGGGCUGUGACCGAAGCACCUCUCAUGUCCUGGGGGUGCCCUGGGGAAGAUGAUGAGCAUGGCCCCUGCUCUCAUGGUUUAGGGACACUAACGAGUUACAUACAUGGUAUUAGAAUGAUUGUUACUUAUACACAGGUACUUCAAAAAAUUCAUGGAAAAUAGAAAUCAACAGUAAGCUUAUUUUGAUGCUAACGGUUUUUGAGAUUCAUGCAGUCUUUUCAUAAUUGCCUUUUCUGUGAAGUUCCUGAGGGUCUCUUGUAUUGGGAGAUGACAUACUACUCUUAGAGGAGGGGCCAGCAUUGCGAUACAGCAGUUAAGCUAGUACUUGUGACAUCAGCAUGCCCUGUCAGAAUACUGGUCCGAGAUCCAGCUGCUCUGCUUCCAGUCCAGCUUCCUGCUAAUGCUCCUGGGAGGACAGUGGGUGAUGGCCCAAGUACUUGGGGUCUUUGGCUCCUGGCUUUGGUCCAGCCCAGCCCCAGCCCCACAAUUUGGAGAGUGGACCAGUGGAUGGGAGAUCUCUGCCUCUCCCUCUCUCUAUGUCAUUUUGCCUUUCAGAUAAAGUGAAUCUUAAGAAAAGACAAAGACACAGAGGGGAAGGAGGCUUAGGUAAGGCCCUGCAUUGCAGGGUUGUAGGAUUUUUUUUUUUUUUUUUUUAAUGAGACAUAAGACCUCCAUUUGGCCGGCACUGUGGCUCACUAGGCUAAUCCUCCGCCUGCAGCACCGGCACCCCGGGAUUCUAGUCCCAGUUGGGGCACCGGAUUCUGUCCCAGUUGCUCCUUUUCCAGUCUAGCUCUCCACUGUGGCCCGGGAAGGCAGUGGAGGAUGGCCCAGGUCCUUGGGCCCUGCACCCACAUGGGAGACCAGGAGGAAGCACCUGGCUCCUGGCUUCGGAUCGGCGCAACGCGCCAGCUGUAGUGGCCACUUGGGGGGUGAACCAACGGAAAAAGACCUUUCUCUCUGUCUGUCUCUCUCUCUCUCACUAACUCUGCCUGUCAGAAAACAAAAAACAAAAACCUCCAUUUAAUACAUUAGAAAACAAAAGAAAAUAAGUCCUUGAGAAUAAGUUUUAUCAUUAAUUAAGGAAGCACCUAAGAAAACAAGCAAUGGAAUUGGACACUUAGGCAUAACUAUAACUUAUGGAACAAAAGUAUAACUUCCACUUAAUACACUAAAACAAAAUAAGUCUUUAAGAACAGGUUUUACUGUUAACCUUCAUAAUACAGCUCAUUGAGGACAGAGGUCUGCAUGGGAAGUAAGUGCACAGUGACUCCUGUUAAUUUAACAAUUAGCCUUCUAUGUAUGAUGUCAGUGAUCACCCGAGGCUCUUGACAUGAGCUGCCUAGGCUAGGGAAGCCUUUUAAAUCCACAGUUUCUGUAUUUAGACAAGGCCAUAAGCAAAGUGGAAGUUCUCUCCUCCCUUCAGAGAAAAGUAGAUCCUUCUUUGAUGGCCACUUUCCGCUGGAGUCUCCCUCACAGAGGUCCUUCAUGUAGGACAUUUUUUUGCUACAGUGUCUUGACUUUCCAUGCCUGAAAUGCUCUCAUGGGCUUCUCAGCCAGACCAGGAUGCCUUAAGGGCUGAUUUUGAGGUCAGAGUGCUGCUUAAAGCGAUUGUCAUCCUAUGAGUCUGCUGUGUGGACUGCUUCCCAUAUUGGAGCACUCACUCCUUUUUAAUUCUAUCUAUUAUUGUUACCAGAGAUUGUAGGAUGUUGAGCAGCAUUCCUAGCCUCUUCUGAGAUGCCAGUGGCACUCUAUCAGAAAUGUCCCCAGAUGUUGGCAGAUGUCAUUCAGAGAAUCGUCCCUGGCUGAGUAUGCCUGGAGAAAAUCCCUCGACUUGGAGGUUGGUGUCACUUCACAUUCAUGGCCCAGGGCUGUCCUGAUUCUACCUCGUUCUGUUUCCCUGGUGGAUGAAGUGCUGCUUCUCACCUAGUGGGCAUUGAAGAAGACAGAACAGGUCCCUACCCCGAGCCCCCCGCAACUCCUGCAGUGAUGCUUGUCAAGCUGGCACCUGCUGAGCGUCGGCCGGAGGUUCUGUACCAUCAUCUCUACUGUGGUCCCAGAUAGACAGUGGUGCAAAAGCAGACCCGUUCUGCUUGUCACUUUUAGUACAGCAUUCAGUAAGUUACAUGAGAUCUUCAACACUUUAUUAUAAAAUAGGUGUCGUGUUAGGUGAUUCUGUCCAACAGUAAGCAAAUGGGACAAAUUCUGAGCAUUUAUUAAGGUAGUCUGGGCUAAGCUAUGGUGCCAGAUGGGCUAAGUGUAUUAAACGCAUUUUUCACUUACUACAUUUUCUUUUAAAAAAAAUUUUUUUGACAGAGUUAGGCAGUGAGAGAGAGAGAAAGGUCUUCCUUCCAUUGGUUCAUCCCUCAAAUGGCUGCUACAGCUGGUGCACUGCACCAAUCAAAGCCAGGAGCCAGGUGCUUCCUCCUGGUCUCCCAUGUGGGUGCAGGGCCCAAGCACUUGGGCCAUCCUCCACUGCCUUCCCAGCCACAGCAGAGAGCUAGAUGGAAGAGGAGCAACCAGGACAGAAUCUGGUGCCCCAACUGGGACUAGAACCCGGGGUGCCAGCGCUGCAGGCUGAGGAUUAACCUAGUGAGCCGUGGCACCUGCCAACUACAUUUUCUUUUUUUAAAAAUGUUAAUUUUUUUUGUUUAUUUGAAAGGCAGAAUGACAUCUUACAUCUGCUCAUUCACUCCCCAGAUGUCUGCAACAGCCAGGGCUGUUGGUUCCAGCCAGCCUGGAACCCCUUCUGGGUCUCCCACAUAGGUAGCAGGGAGUGAAGUACUUGGGCCAUCACCCACUGCCUCCCAGGAGGGGUUGGCAGGAAGCUGGAUCAGAAGCAGAGUAGCCAGGACUUGAACUGUCACUCCAAUGGAUGUGGGUAUGAUGAGUGGUGGCUUAACCCGCUGUGCCACAACGCCUCCCCCUCCCCCCAUCUACCAAGUUUUCCCAACUGGUGUUUAUCAGGAUGUAACCCGUUGUAGGCCUAGCAACAUCUGUGUUGUGCAGCGACAUCAUCGAGGGGGAGGCAAGAGGACACAGGGACCCAGUCUGUGGUGAACGAGGGAAGGUUGGCCAAUGGCAGCAGCAAAUGAAAGGAAGACUUGUGGGUGUGGGAGGGCGGUGGCCGGGGUCCACUACUGGGGAGGCCCCGGAUCUUGUGCUGCAGAUACUGAGGUGUGGGAAAAUGAACUCUCAAAGUGCUUGGGGGAAAAGCCAGUGCGAGGACUUGGACAGGAAGGGGCGGUUCACAACUUGUUCCAGGUCAAGGGUGACUGCUCUGAAUGCUGUUGUGUGCGUGUGUCAAAUUGUGUGUGCUGACCCGGGAGCCCUUCGGGCCCCUGAAACCCAGUUCCAGGUUAGGGGCCUGUCCUCCAGCGGCAGCUGCAGUUUGAGCAGACGCUGGAAUCUGCCUGCUGGGCCCCACCCACGGGGUCCAGUCGAAAAGUAGGUGUACUUCCUAUCAAGUUGCCAGGCAGGCUGCUGACACAUUUUGGGAACCAUUACACCUGCUUUCUCCUGUGAGGUGUGUGUGUGAAACUCAGUAGCUCAGUAUUCCUGGAACCCUUGGCCCUGAAUUAGGAUUGCUUGCUGAGUGACCUUGGGCAGUUUUCUUAGUGUCCUUAAAACUCAACUUCCUGAUCUGUGGAACAGGCGCUAUGGGUGGGGCAGUGCCUGGGAAGGGUCUAGCGCUGGUGUUUCCUCCUCUGGUAUGUCGAUCAAAUCUCUGGCUGGAACCAGCUGCUGCAACUUUUGCUCUCCACCAGAGGGCACCAGUAACCUAUGGAAUCUAAGGGCAAGCUCUCUGCCCUUAAAACCACAUAGUGGUGAGGAUGGCCAAUUUUGAUUCUUCUUUUUUUAAAAAAUUUAUUUAUUUAUUUGAAAGUCAGAGUUACACAGAGAGAGAGGGAAAGAGAAAGAGAGAGAGAGAGAGGUCUUCCAUCUGCUGGUUCACUCCCCAGUUGGCUGCCGUGGUCGCAGCUGCACUGAUCCGAAGCCAGGAGCCAGGAGUUUCUUCCCGGUCUCCCAUGCAGGUGCAGGGGCCCAAGGACUUGGGCCACCUUCCCAGGCCACAGCAGAGAGCUGGAUCGGAAGUGGAGCAGCUGGGACUCGAACUGGCGCCCAUAUGGGAUGCUGGCACUGCAGGCGGCGUCCUUACCCGCUACACCACAGUGCUGGCCCCCCAGUUUUUGAUCCUUAACGUGGAAUCGUUAGUGAGCUUCCUCUAAACUGCAGGAGGAAAGUCUGUGCUCUGACUCCACACUGGCCACAAAGACAGUUACGUUUCCCUUUUGUAUUUUGUUCAUCCCCCAAUCCCGUCUCCACCUCCUCAAGCCUGGCUACAAAUCAUCGUCUCCGUAGUAAUGGAGUGCGGCUCCUUUCUUCCUGACGCUCAGACGAUCUGAGCUGCUGACUUCCCCCUCGUGUGCCCCCUACCCUGGUCCAGCAGCAGUGGGGCGGCAUCUGGUGCUGAGCCCCUUCCUGGGGGGCUCAGGUAUCAGCAGGCACCUGGCACAGGAGGGAAAAACUCAGGGCAGGGUUGGGGGGUGCGUUUGGCACAGGGGUUGAGGUGCACUUGACGCCCUCAUCCCGAGUCAGAGUGCCUGGGUUUCAAUCCUGCCUCUGCUUUUCUUUUUCUUUUUUUUUUUUUUUAAGAUUUAUUUUUUAGUUAUUCGAAAGAGAGAGACAGAAAGACAGGUCUUCCAUCUGCUCGUUCACUCUGCAAAUGGCCACCAUAGCUUGAGUGGGGCCAGGCCUAAGCCAAGAACCAGAAGCUGCUUCCAGGUCUUCCAUGUGGGCGCCAGUUCAAGUCCCUGCUGCUCCUCCUCCUCCUCCUCUUCUUUUUUAAAUUAAUUUACUUGAAAGGCAGAGUUACAGAGGCAGAGGCAGAGAGAGAGAGAGAGAGAGAGAGAGAGAGAGAUCUUCCAUCCACUGGUUUUCUUUCCAAAUGGCUAAAAUGGCUGGAGCUGGGCUGAUCUGAAGCCAGGAGCCAGGAGUUUCUUCCGGGUCUCCCACGUGGGUGCAGGGGCCCAAGGACUUGGGUCAUCUUCCACUGCUUUCCCAGGCCACAGCAGAGAGCUGGAUCGGAAGUGGAGCAGCCAAGACUUGAACUGGUGCCCAUAUGGGAUGGCAGUGUCACAGGCAGUGGCUUUACCCACUAUGCCACAAUUCCAAUCCCCUGCCUCCACUUCUGAUCCAUUUUCCUGCUAAUGAGAACCCUGGGAAACCACAGUUGAUGGCUUAAGUAUUUGGUCCCUGACACCCACAUGGGAGACGGAUGGAGUUACGGGCUCCUGGCUUCGGCCUGACCCAGCCCUGGCUGUUACAGGCAUUUGAGAAGCAAACCAGAGGAUGGAAGAUCUCUCUCUCUCUCUCUCUCUCAAAUAAAAUGAAAAGUAAAUUAUUUUUUCAAGAGCUCUGAGGAAGGGCCGCGACGAGGAGACGAGGCCACCGUCAUAGCCUUCCUCCAACACCACAGGCUCCUUGGCUCUGGCACUAUGGCGCAGUGGGGGAAGCUGCCACCGGUGGUGCCAGAGUCCCCAUGGCAGUGCCAGCUCCAGUCCCGACUGCUCUGCCUCCAGUUCGACUCCCCACUGGUGUGUCUCAGGAGGCAGCGGGGACUUGGGUCCCUGACACCCAUGUGGGAGACCCGGAUGUGGUUCUGGUUCCUGGCUUAGCCCUGGCCCUCGAGACCAUUUGGGGAGUGAAUCAGUGGAGGGCAGAUCUCCCUCUUUAUCUCUUUCUGUUGCUCUGCCUUUCAAAUAAAUUAAUAAAUCUUUAAAAGAAGAAUCCCAGAGCAGUGCCACUGUGUGUCCGUCCCGUGUACAGAACGUUCUUCAGUCUGAUGGGAGGAGGUGCAGCCCCAGGUCAGGUUUCAGCGUUGUGCCUGGGAGUGCCGGCCCAGACCAGCAAAGCCAGGAAGAAAAUCAAAAGUGUUUGCCAUGCACCUUGCUAGAUUCACAGAACCAUGGGUGCUGGAGAUGGACAAGACCCCGGAGAUACAGCACAGCCCCGCAUGGUUGGGAGAGGAGGGACCCGUGACCUGGGCACACUGGCCCUUCCGGCCGAGGCAGAGCGCAGGGCCACGGGUGGGCACAAUGAUGCCCGUCUUCCCUCCGUCUCCUGGGUCAGCACCACCGGGAGCCCUUGCUGUGAGCCGAGUGUGCGUAUCUGCUUCCUCUCGGAUGCCCCUCACAGCAGCGCCGUGCAAGAGAUGCGGCGUUCCGCGGCUGCAGUACGCUGUCCCCGUCUUGCACAGGCAUGGAGAAGCUAUGGGAGUGAUCCAGGACACGGUUAGCUGGCAUUGCGUCCCAGGUGUUCCUGCAGGAGGGUAGCCGGCACCUUGAGUGGGACACGCUUGCUUUCCUGUGGGACGAUGCCUUGCGUAGCAGUGUGCUUACACCCACUACCUCCGGGUCCCAGGCAUUAACUGUCCCUGUCAUGAUGACAAGAGUUUCCCAGGGCCCCUGUGGGGAGGGUCGAGGUGGGCCUGCCCUUGGCUAAGAGCCGCCGAUUUAACUGCGUAGGCACAAGGAGAGUUGUGAAGACAUUGCUGGCUUGGUGGUUGUCAUAUUAACGGCAGUCACAGGAUGGGACAGGAGCAGAACAGGAGGAGGAAGUCCAGUGUGGCUCUGGAAGGGAAGAGGUUAACUGCCGAGGGAGGGGGUGAACACUGGGCUGAGGAGGGUCCUGGAAACAGGGGGGCAUGGGCAAGGCCUCACAAACUCCCACCCACAGGGACCAGCGGGGACUCAGAGACAAGGAAACAGCUGCGUUGACAGCUCUGGGAUAGGGGUGAGCCGGAGAGCCACGCCCACCUCAGGGACUGCACCGCCCAGCGGCAGCCAGGGGUCGAGGUAAGGUGGAGUCACUGUUGCCAGCCUUGCAAACAGACCAAGAAAAUCUACAGGGCUAGAUAUUUCUAGGAAAUGUUUGUUAUAGAUAUUGGCUUACAAUUCAACACACACACACAUCAGGCAGGCCAGGAGAAAAUACACUUGAAGGUGACUUUGGGCCGUCUGUGACUUGUGGGCCAUUGACUGAGGCCAUUGCCAUGUGAGGUGCUAUGGUGAGCACCCCCGUGCUGGCUGUGGGACUCAGCGGGGAGGAGCGGUCCACAGCUCCAGGCUGCACAGGCCCGUGCCGGGCGUCCACCAGGGCGCAGGGCCCUGCAGAGGCCAGUAGGCCGCAUGUCCAUGGAGCUACAGCAGCUGGGGUGCCCGUGCCACCAGCCGUCUCUUCCAGAUCUGAGAUCCUGGAAUCCUGAGGGCAGAGCCCAGAACACGAAGCCCGGACAGCCCUGCUGUGGCGGUGGUGCUGGCACUCGGUCCCUGCCGAGCUCUGGCCGGUCACUCCGCUGGGGUGGAGGAAGCAGUGAGGAGGGCUGGAGAGGCCUUGCCUUGGUUGGAACGUCCACCACCCAGCAGUUCCCACGAGCCAGCUGCUGUGGCGCCCACCCAGCCGCUGCGUCCCUGACCCGAGCCGCAGAGCGCAGCAGCCCAACUCCUCAGCUGACCCUCCCCCUGCCCAAGGUUACCUAUCGGUGUGCUCUUCUCCAGAACCCACCAGCCCUGCCUGCUUUCCAUCCUGCUAAGGCAGGCAUUGGCUCCGCCGGACUCACCUGCCUCCUCUUUGGGGCUGGGACUCCUGGCUUGUCUCCACCAAAACCUCGGACUCCGGUGUGUGUGCCCUCCCAGUCCCCCACCCCCAGAGAAAACAGCCAGGGCUGCUAGCUCUCCAGUCUGGGUGUUUUUUUGUUUGUUUGUUUUUUUUUUUUUUUUUUUUAGAUUUAUUUAUUUAUUUGAAAGGUAGAGUGAAACAGAAAGGAGAGGCAGAGAGAGAGAGAGAGAGAGAGAAUGGGAGAGAAUCUUCCAUCCGCUGGUUCACUCCCCAAACAGCCACCACAGCCAGGCCUAGGCCAGACUGAAGCCAGGAUCUUAUUCCAGAUCUCCCACAUGGGUGCAGGGGCCCAAGGACUUGGGCCAUCUUCUGCUGCGUUCCCAGGCCACAGCAGCGAGCUGGAUCAGAAGUGGAGCAGCCCGGACUUGAACCAGUGCCCAUAUGGGAUACGGGUGCUGCAGGCUGUGGCUUAACCCACGGCCCUGUUCUGUUCUUUAAAAGCAGUACAUUUAUGGAGUGGGCAGUUAAGACUGGUUAAGCCGUUGCUUUGGACAUGUGCAUCCCACAUCAGAGUUACUGGUUCAAGUCCUGGCUCUUCAGCUUCUGGUUCAGCUUCCUGCCGCUGUGUAUCCUGGGAGGCAGCAGGUGACGGCUCAAGGACUCGGGUCCCUGCCUCCCACGUGGGAGACCUGGAUGGAGUUCUGGGCUCCUGGCUUCGGCCUGGCCCAGCCAUGGCUGUUGUAGGCAUUUGGGGAGUGAACUAGCAGAUGGAAGAUCUCUCUCUCUCUCGCUCUCUCGCUCUCUCGCUCUCUCUCAAAUAUAAUGAAAACAAGAAUCUAGAAAGAAGAAAAAGAAAGUAGCGCUUUGAUGGUUUCUGACCUGAAGAACAGGGUCGUUGGGGUGAGGGAGGCGGCUGGUGUGAAGGAAGUGAAACCCAGGCCGCAGCCCUCCAGAUACGGCUCGGCCUCGGCCGACGCAUGCAAACCUCCGCUCCCCGCCUUGCUUGCUUUCCUGGCCCGCAUGCCGGCUGAGGCCCAGGACCUUGUGUUACAGACAGAGAGGGCUGCGCGGGGAAGGGCCGUGGACACUGCUGUGUGACCCAGCAGGCUCUCGGCCCCGGAGACUUCUCAGCACCAGGCACUCGGGGCUCCCAGGUGAGGGGGAGAAAGUCAAGAUGAGGCUGCUGGCAGUGGUCCUCUGUGCGUCCUGCGGCACGAGGGCACGCUGCUCCCGCUGGCCUCCACACAAGGACCCUGUGCCCACUCACGCGCACCCUGCCUUCCUGCCCCAGCACCUCCCAGCACCCCAAGCCUGGGGAGUUUUUCUCCCUCCUCCCAUCGGCCCCAGCGCCCGGCUGCCUGGCCUGGCCAAGCCAGCUUCCCUUCCUUCUCUCGGACAGGGAGAACGUUCUACGGCAGGCAGCCUGCAGCCGGUUUAUCUGUAACACAGCACUUCAGAACUGUGAACGGAAUCCCAGCGUGUGCAGACUCCUGGCUAUCGCAAGCGAGGGGAAUCCCAAACACACGCAACCACCAUGUCUCAUUUCAGAUGGCGGGGGAUGCUACAAAGGAGCAGACAGAUACGGCCCGGGGACGACGCUGGUAUCCGAGUGACCGCCAGCAUAGGAGCCGCCGCUGGGGGACUGAAGCAAAGACAACUCUGCAAGGGUCAUGGCAGAGAGCUGGGUCGGAAGUGGAGCAGCCGGGAUUCGAACCAGCAAUCAUAUGGGAUGCCCGCACUGCAGCUUUACCCUCUACACCACAGCGCUGACCUCGGAAGAACUUAACAAGUAAAGUGGUUAAGCGGAACGGGCCGCCUUGUGAGGUAAUGAGCUUUCUGUCACCGACGGCAUGCAAGUGGGGAUGAGCUGCCAGGGAGGGUGGUGGGUGGGGCUGGCGAGUGGUCCGAGUCCCAGAGCCCAAACUCCCGAGCACAGGG